CUUGAAGGCAAGAAAAUAAAAGCAUUUUGUUUCUAUGUAUCUGCAGUAGGCAGGUGUAAAGUAACUGGAAAGCCAGAGGGACCAGAGGAAUAAUCAUGGGAUGCAACAUCCCAGAAGCAAAGAAGUCAGUAGGACUUCAGUGCACUGGGAGAAAUGUUACAGUCUCAGUCGAACAGUGCUGUCUCAGGGCUGGAUUCCUGAGGCUACAGGGUAAUCUGAAGGAAAGCAUUUAAAGACUGUCCCUUUACCAGCUGGGAAUGGCGUAAAAUGUUCUCUGCUAAAUUGCAGCAGCUUCUGUUUGUGGAGAAACAGGUGGAUCACCGUGGAUCACCCCACAGUACGCCCUGUUCCCACCACUGCUGUUUCUGGAUGUGCCACCCAGCAGGUAGGAGAGAAACAGUUAAACCAGCUUGGUGCUACCUACAGAUACCUGCCAGGAGGACUCUUCACCUGUGAUGCAGUGAUGAUGUCUCCAUCUGCGUGGUGCUGUUAGUGAAUUGUGCCAAGGACUUUGCUCUUCCUGUUGGCCACUGAGAACUGUUUCAGUUGUCACGUGGCUGUUGCUAACGUCCUGUGUCGUGCAGGGCUGGGUGAGCCAGCAGCCCUGCUAAUGGGGCUUACUGCUUGGGUCAGCAAAUGUUGAGGACUAGGACUAGAUUGCAGAAAACUGUGCUGAGCACUUGGGAAGCAAUGCGCACGGCUGGCUUCAUGGAACCUGCAGAGCUGAAGGGCACGAGUGGAAGAGAUGGAUGUGGUAAUAUCCAAGAUUCUGUGCAGGUAAAUGUGUAAAAAGUUAAUGGUUACUGAUAGUGACUGACCACUGAAAUCCUGGAAAUGGUAUAUUAGCCCAGAGUGCACAGCAGUUAAUUUUCUACAGAUUUGCAGGACUUGUUGCUUAGCUCUGCACCCAGCUGCUUUAGAAUUUAAAAGGUGUUCAUUCCUUGCUCCGUGGUGUUGGCAUUUGAAGAGGUUUCUUACCGCCAUGUUGGUGAUGUUUGUAGCUUUGUUGUACUGCAUAAAGAAGUUUCAGUUCCAUUCCUGUGGGGCUGUUGGCAUGGUACUGCUUUCAAUUAGUUCUCAAAUACAUAUCCAGACACUUUCUGUGUUUUACAAGUAAGGUGAGUUGGAGAUGGGAGAUCCAUUUAUUUGGCAGAUAUGCUUUCCUCUACGGUAUCCACCUCUAAAAAUAAUUAGUUGGCAAUUGCAUUUUUAAGCUGUCUGACAAUAGCUCCCCAGUAACUACAGGCUCUUAGACCAAACCUGGAGAACCCUUCUAUCCUACAAAAUCAGUCAUCACAUUUUUUGACAUAAAGGUAACUUGGCAGUAAGGGAGAUUGUCUUUGGUGGGUCACUGGAGCAGUGGGAAAAGUAAUUGGGGACCAGUUUUGCAGAGAAUGCAUAUUUCAGUCAAUAUUUCAAACAGAAAUGUGGUAUAGUAUCAUUCUAGCAAUACUCAAAUGCAGUAAACGUUCUUGUGUUAAAAUCAUGCUUCUCUUUUAACCCUCAGGGAUGCAAACGCAAUCCAAGGUACUAUCUCUUGAUCUGCUCUUUAGCUCUUUAUACUGCAGGUUCUGAAAAGCUAAGCGAUAUUCUGAUCAAAAUAAUUGCAAACCACUGCAGGUGUUUUUGUAUGGUGGAAAAAAGAAGCGAGUUGCUCCUGGCUAGAAGCAGACCUUCGCCAGGCUGAUCACACACACAGGCUGCUGUGGAAAAAUACCUCUUCCAAAAGUUGCACUUAAAAGAGUUCCUGAAAUGUAGUAUUUCAAGAUUUGCUGAUAUUGGCUGCUUCACUCCAAAUGCCAGCCUUCAGCUACUGGUUUCAGAGCAUGGUGCUGAUCCAAAACUGUACUGACAGCGGAGCAUUUUUCAGCUCUUUUAGUAACUUGUAAUAAAGACUCAAGUUGCUUGCUGUGUUUUGAAGUGUGACAGUGACAAACUGUAACCAUCCAAUCUAUUUCCAAAGGAGUCAUCAACACAUAGAUUUCUAGCAAGUCUCAAAAACAUCCAUACGCUUUUGCUGCCAAAACUUUACUUUUAUGGUCUUGGGAGAAAUUCAGAUGGUUGUCAGCCAGCUCUGUAGGCGUUUGAGUGCAGUGUCAUUAAUUAACGGGUGUAUCAGCAAACACCUUGCUGUCUGAGUGCAGCAAGGCUCUGUUCUACUCUCCAGAAGGGAUCUUGGCCUACUGUACCUAGACUGCCUAAUCUGUUUAGUAAUUGAGUGUUUGGAAGGUGUGUGUGAACCUUGAUCGUGGCCUGCAUCAGUCGCUGUUCAGCAGUCUCUGGGUCAUAGUGCUAAUGGCAUGCAAUGAGUCUUUGAACUAGAACUUACAAGUAAAUACUUCUUUUCUUCUUUAGUGGCAGUGAGUAUACAGUGUUUUUUUCUUAAAACAAAUACUGCAUGGAUGUUUUCCAAGGAAGGAAGCAACAGCUGAUCUGACACUCAGUGGUUUACGUUGAGUUCAGUGAAAACCGACUCAAACUUUAACUAAGCAGUAACUGCAUUGGUUCUGGCAUAAGCAGUAGUAUUCGUGCUCUUGUUAGGUCGUUUGUUACUUAAGGAGCAUACUCAAGAAAGCAUGACUGCUUGUAUAGCCAGCAGCUGAUUUCAAAGGAAAGGAAGCGUUCAGCAGCUGCUGGCACGUUGUUCCAUGGCAGCACCUUGGGAUUGUUUUCUCAGUAUUUCUCAAUCCAAAAUAUUGAUCCCAGGGCAGCUUGGUGUUGAAGCGUGUAGCAUGUGUGAGUUUCUUCUCAUUUAUGGAAGCUUUGCACAUAUGUUGGUUGGAAUCCUAUAAUCCUUGCAAGGGUUCUGUUCUGCACAGAGGGAGGCUUCGCUGGGGCUUCUGUGGUUAUUCUCUGUUUUAGGAGACAGUGUUGGUUCAGCUGAGCACUACAAACAAAAUCUUUCAGUAAUUUGACCAAAGGCUUGUGUGUCUAGCACACAAUAAUGCGGAACUUGAGCUGUGGAUUAUAUUUAUUAGGGUUUUUUAUUAUAUAGUGACUAGAAGAGGUGUGAAAUCCCCACUGUGAGUAGCUUGUUGUCCUUUUAAAAAGAUUUAGAGAAAAUUCUCACCUACUGCCUCUCACCCUUUGUUUUCUAUAACCACUAAAGAAAGGAAAGAGAGAAGAGUUCUGUUAUGCUCGGGGGAAAAAAUAAAAAGAAAUGAAGAAGGAAGAACUGAUGGCACCCACAGAGAAGCCUCUCAUGGCUGCCCUUAGCACUGAUAAAUGUUUCAUGUGCUUUUUUUUCCACCUGAGAUCUCGUUUGUGGUCAUUCAGUCUUCUGUAUCAAAAUACAGCAGUUGCAGGUUGAACACUGAAGGACAAAGUUGAGGUUUACUGAGG
rnacentral:lncRNA from 1 species